rnacentral:rRNA from 1 species
GCACAAGCGGUGGAUGAUGUGGAUUAAUUCGAUGCAACGCGAAAACCUUACUACCCUUGACAUGUCCGGAAUCCUGCAGAGAUGCGGGAGUGCCCGAAAGGGAAUCGGAACACAGGUGCUGCAUGGCUGUCGUCAGCUCGUGUCGUGAGAUGUUGGGUUAAGUCCCGCAACGAGCGCAACCCUUAUCAUUAGUUGCUACGCAAGGGCACUCUAAUGAGACUGCCGGUGACAAACCGGAGGAAGGUGGGGAUGACGUCAAGUCCUCAUGGCCCUUAUGGGUAGGGCUUCACACGUCAUACAAUGGUCGGUACAGAGGGUUGCCAAGCCGCGAGGUGGAGCCAAUCCCAGAAAGCCGAUCGUAGUCCGGAUUGUUCUCUGCAACUCGAGAGCAUGAAGUCGGAGUUGCUAGUAACCGCAGGUCAGCAAUACUGCGGUGAAUACGUUCCCGGGUCUU